rnacentral:tRNA from 1 species
CUGCCCAGAUGGUGAAAUUGGUAGACACGCCAGCUUCAGGUGCUGGUGACCGCAAGGUCGUGGAAGUUCGANUAUCAAUUGAGCAAACCA